rnacentral:rRNA from 1 species
UACGUAGGGCGCAGCGUUGUCCGGAAUUUAUUGGGCGUAAAGAGCUCGUAGGCGGUUUGUCGCGUCGGCCGUGAAAUCUCCACGCUUAACGUGGAGCGUGCGGUCGAUACGGGCAGACUUGAGUUCGGUAGGGGAGACUGGAAUUCCUGGUGUAGCGGUGAAAUGCGCAGAUAUCAGGAGGAAUACCGAUGGCGAAGGCAGGUCUCUGGGCUGACACUGACGCUCAUGCACGAAAGCGUGGGGAGCAA